rnacentral:sRNA from 1 species
ACAGUGCCAUGGCCGCCUGAAUUAAGGCCCGGCAACAGACAAAGGCGCAGCUUGCUGCGCCUUUUUU